UGCCUCACAAACUAGCCCUUUCAGAUUGUGAGAUUCAGGAUACUGAGGUGCGCGCUGCAAAGCCUGCUGGAUGGCUCCAAAUGCCUCUGGAGAUCGCAGAUAACCUGACUGCAGAGCAAGCUUAACUAGACCUGUUUGGAAUUCUGCAAGUGGAAAGAUCUGAACCGCCCGCAGACAGCACUCAUAAGCCUCGUCUGGUUUCAG
rnacentral:misc_RNA from 1 species